GUCGCUUUGGAUAAAAUCGUCUGCUAAAUGACUAAAUGUAAAUGUAAAUGUAUCAAUGAACGUACCUUUACUUGAGGAUUCAGGAGGAUGAGGAGACCAGCAUGAAAUUAUGCUGUGGCUUGUCCGACAGUAGCAUCUAGUGGUGCAGUUAAUAUCGCAUCAGUGGAUUUACAGUCAAACUGGCAGGCUUUGUUCCUGCAGCAGCAGCACACACUCUGAAAGUGUUCACUGUUUUCAGUUUGAAGUGUGUAAAAACCAGUCUGAACACAGACUAGUAAUUAGAAAAGCUGUCUUGGCCUUUUUGUGAUUUUAUAUGUUCACUUUGAUUAAAUAUACAAUAAUAAAGAAGUCAACCAGUUUCUACGCUGGCCACAUUCUAGACUCAAUUCAAUUAGUAGCUGUAGGCUACAGCUUAAAAUAUCUCAUGGGAUGAACACACCUGUACUUUGUGCAGUAUUACUAAUACUUGUAUAUAACACACAUGGCACAUCCGUAUUGUCCGAAGAACUUGUGAUCUCUACACAAGAAGUCUACAGGCCCUUGUUGAAAAACCAGCUGGUUAGGUAUGUUUUGAAGCAUGGCAGCUGGUUUGAGCUGGUUUAAGCUGGUAACUAGCAACUAGCUCUUGCUUAGGACCAGCUCAAACCAGAUGCCAUGCUUCAAAACGUACCUUAUUAGCAUAUGCUGCUUUUUUUUUUAACAGGGGGGCGUGGCAAGUUAAUACCGCCCAUACUCUACACACUGUUGAAUUCCUUUUGUUUUCAUAAAAUAGCUACAUCUGUCUUAAAGGCAUUGCAGCAGCUCUCUAUCAACGCAUAUCUUUUACAGGAGGUCACAGAACAUCGCAUACAAAAAAUGUCAAGUUGGGGCAACCUGGAUGAAGUGGGUGAAGAGUGGUGGGACAAUGCAUAUAAGUUGUUUCUUGAAAGUGAACCAAUAAGAACCACCCUGAGUAAUGUUGCUUAUUAUAUGAGUGACAACACAUGGAAUGAUUAUGGAUUCAGCUGUGACACACAUGUUCCUCCAGCUGGGAAAUUCUGUGGUGUUUCUAGAAGGGCAAUUCUGGUGGUGAUUUCCAGAACGAGGAGAAUGGAGUGGGGUGACUGGAAGAAGCUACAUCAGGCAUCUUCUGAACCUAAGGAUCUAGACAGCAGUGACAAGACACUUAUAAACUGGGUUACUGACCUGGUGUAUAAUGAGGACGGCAGCCCUAAACCAUUCAACAGAAAGACUUAACGAUAUUAAUGAUAAUCAGAAUGAUGUCAGAAUGUUAGCCAAAGUUCUGUUCAAAGCUGUUUUUAUUAUAUGGCUUUUCCUAAUAUUAUUUCCAUCAGUUAAUCAUUCAUACACUAUUUAAUCAUUUGCAUUCUCAUUUGCAUCUAUAAGAGACUAUUGCAUGCUUUCCAUGCAUUUAUCAUGUUUGUUUGAGAACGUCCAUAGGUCCAUAGUAAUGAUCACUUAUUCAUCGUAAACUCAAAAUCAAGGUCUUCUUUUGUUUUUAUCUUCAGUUAAAAUAAAGCAAUGAUGUAGUUCCA
ensembl:lncRNA